rnacentral:rRNA from 1 species
GAUGAACGCUAGCUACAGGCUUAACACAUGCAAGUCGAGGGGAAACGCCAUCGAAAGCUUGCUUUUGAUGGGCGUCGACCGGCGCACGGGUGAGUAACGCGUAUCCAACCUGCCCAUCACUUGGGAAUAACCUUGCGAAAGUAAGACUAAUACCCAAUGACAUCCCACGAAGACAUCUGAAUGGGAUUAAAGAUUUAUCGGUGAUGGAUGGGGAUGCGUCUGAUUAGCUUGUUGGCGGGGUAACGGCCCACCAAGGCAACGAUCAGUAGGGGUUCUGAGAGGAAGGUCCCCCACAUUGGAACUGAGACACGGUCCAAACUCCUACGGGAGGCAGCAGUGAGGAAUAUUGGUCAAUGGGCGAGAGCCUGAACCAGCCAAGUAGCGUGCAGGAUGACGGCCCUAUGGGUUGUAAACUGCUUUUAUAGGGGAAUAAAGUGGGUCUCGUGAGACUUUUUGCAUGUACCUUAUGAAUAAGGACCGGCUAAUUCCGUG